CCUACGGGUGGCAGCAGUGAGGAAUAUUGGUCAAUGGACGAGAGUCUGAACCAGCCAAGUAGCGUGAAGGAUGACUGCCCUAUGUGUUGUAAACUUCUUUUAUAUGGGAAUAAAAUGUUCCACGUGUGGGCUUUUGUAUGUACCAUAUGAAUAAGGAUCGGCUAACUCCGUGCCAGCAGCCGCGGUAAUACGGAGGAUCCGAGCGUUAUCCGGAUUUAUUGGGUUUAAAGGGAGCGUAGGUGGAUUGUUAAGUCAGUUGUUAAAGUUUGCGGCUCAACCGUAAAAUUGCAGUUGAAACUGGCAGUCUUGAGUACAGUAGAGGUGGGCGGAAUUCGUGGUGUAGCGGUGAAAUGCUUAGAUAUCGCGAAGAACUCCGAUUGCGAAGGCAGCAUACCGGCGCCCGACUGACGCUGAGGCACGAAAGCGUGGGGAUCGAACAGGAUUAGAUACCCCAGUAGUC
rnacentral:rRNA from 1 species